GCCAGGAAUCAACCUGAGUUAGCUUGCAGGAUCCAGGCAGUUUCUCUACAGUUGUUUCAGUGUACUCAACAUGACUCAUGUGUCCUGCACCCACAAACUCCCCCCUCGAGUUUCACCCAUAAGAAGAUUUCAAGCAGGUGGAUUAUUAAUGCCCUGCAUUCUGCCAGUGAAAAUUUAAAUAGUGAUGUCACAGAAGGCACAGCUUCCCACCACAGCCCCAAACAGCCCCUUCCCCCGUGUCCCUUUCUUUGAGCCAUCACAAGAACUCCUCUGGCUGAACAGUCAGACUGGCAAAAAGCUUUUCCAUUUUGGUCUUCUGCUGGUUUGGAGCAGGCUAGCAUUGUUUGACACACCACCAGGUGAACAGAAACAGGUGGAUCAAGAAGAAAAACUCUCUGGAAAGCUCCAGCACAAUCAACUCCUCGAUCUAGAACAAAGAAGGAACAGUCCUUCCACAACACUGAAGGAAAAACAAGCCGUAUCAGAAGACACAUCUUUGAAGCACUUCUUCUGACAGCAAAAAUAACGAGAAAACCUUCAUACUUAACUGGGGAAUUGUCCACAAAACUACUUAGUAAAUCCAUAAAUGGAUGCUAUGAAGACGAGGCAGUGAUCCAAAGAUGACUAUGUAAUAACAUGUCAACAGUUCCAAUGAACAAUAUAUCAGGAGCAAAAAAAAGGUUUUUU